GCCAAGCGAUCUUCCUAGCGAUUUUCCCCCUUGCCCCCCCGAAAUCCCUAGCGAUUUCCCCCCUUGCAGGCAAAUCCCUAGCGAAGAGAAGGUCGCUCGUUCGCCCUCCAGCGAACGAGCGAGCUAACGCAAUCAGCGAGUGAAUCGCGCGAAGUAGAAGCAUCCGUCUGAUCGCAAGUCGAAGGGAAAGCUGCCUGACCGCGAGCGAAGGCAUGUCAGCAAGCGCGAGCGAGCCCGGUCGGCGAUUCGACCGAAAAGAAGUCCGGUGCCAGCGAGUGAGCGAGCCAUGCCAACGCGCGAGUUGAAGUCCGGCCACUGACCGCGAGCGAGCCCUGGUGGUGAUAGGGCGGCGAUCGACCGAGAAAGAGGGAUUGGAAGAGAGCGAGCAUGCGAGAGCGAGAAAUGGGGAGCGAGCGAGGUCACCUCAGAUCAGCAGCACUCCACGCCUAGCUUCCAGUUCAAAUCUACUCCCUAACCUCUUUUU
rnacentral:lncRNA from 1 species